AAAAAAAUUAUGUGAGCUGCUUUUCAUAGAGGAACAAAGCACAUUGGAGUCCCUUAAAUGCAUCACUGGAAACUUCUUAACAGAUAAAUAGCAAAAAGAGUAACACCAGUCACCAAAGGUUUUGCUGCCUCCAACAGAUGUAUCACUAGAAUCUUCUUGAUCAGAUCGUAGCAUGCUAAUCACUUUGCAGAAUGAAUGCG
rnacentral:misc_RNA from 1 species